CCAGGCCUUGGUGUAUUUGCCCUGGACAAAACAUAUCAAUGCCCCAGAAAUUCCCGAGGAAAUGAGCUUGACAUCCUUCCAUACUGGGAAGGAAUCAUGCAGUCACAAAUGCCACCAGGCAACUUCUGUGGUUGGACCCUCCUGUCUGUCCCAUAAAAUCUUAAGUUUCAACAGUGAUAGUGACCUUCCUUUAAAGGGCUGCAGCAGCCAUUGAAGACUUUCAAUUCACUCUGCUCAGAAAAACCAUCUGAGGUGUGGCCCUCUGAGUCAAGCAAACCUGAUUUGUACUUCUUCAGGGUAAAAACUCUUUGCUUUCCCAGUCCCCAUCCUGGUGUCCAUCCACUUGAGAAUGGGGGGAAGAGAGGCAGUCACUGAAGACAGAGCCCGGGGGAGUGCUGGCCUGGAUUUUGGAGGAGCUGAGGUUUUUCCUGUCAGAGAUCCAUGAUUGGGAUAUUUUUCCUGGAUGUCCCAAAGGGAAAGAGCAACUUUGAAGUUGUUGCAGCCACAUGCUGUGGAUGCAUCCCCUGAAAACAAGUUCAGGAUUGUUCAUCUGACUCUGCCCCUGACCCGUGGCUUCCAGGGAGUCUCCUGGUGUUCUGAAUAUUCCCAGGAGAAAGAUAUUCCAGCACCUGCUUUUUAAGCCAGGAAUUCCACACCCAGGACCACAAAGACCUUCUGGACUCUGUUAUCCCAUCCCAUGGCAAAGAACACAUCCAAAACUGCCUCCUCACCUCUAUGGAAUGACAAUGGAUGUUGGGAUCUCUGGCAGAAGCACCUGGAGACCAGUUUUCUAGGCUCAUUUGAGGAAAACUCCAAGAAUUCGGAAGUAGGUGGAAAAAAAUGAGGAAAAAAGGUGAACCUGAUCCAUUUCUAGUAAUUCCAGACUUCUCCUACAGCAUCAUUCCAGGGGAAAGCUGGUUAAAUGAUAAAGAUACAGAGGAACAAGUGUUUUAAACCCUCCUGGCUCUGUGACAGAGCAAACCUUCCAGUAAUCUCAGUAGGUAUCUCAGAGAAACUGUGGGAUCAUAAGGUUUUCCAGGAAAGGAAACAAAGGACAGAGGUGAGGGAAUAGACUUCCAGUUAAUAAUGCUUUGAUGGGUGUAGAAAUGAUUGUUGUAUGUUUGAUGACCCCCACCCCCUUUAUUUCCCUGGAAUAAUUUUAGAUUAUUUAUUUU